AGAGUUUGCUCAUGGCUCAGGAUGAACGCUAGCUACAGGCUUAACACAUGCAAGUCGAGGGGAAACGGACAUCGAAAGCUUGCUUUUGUAUGGGCGUCGACCGGCGCACGGGUGAGUAACGCGUAUCCAACCUGCCCAUCACUUGGGGAUAACCUUGCGAAAGUAAGACUAAUACCCAAUGAUAUCUCUAGAAGACAUCUGAAAGAGAUUAAAGAUUUAUCGGUGAUGGAUGGGGAUGCGUCUGAUUAGCUUGUUGGCGGGGUAACGGCCACCAAGGCUACGAUCAGGUAGGGGUUCUGAGGAGGAAGGUCCCCCACAUUGGAACUGAGACACGGUCCAAACUCCGUACGGGAGCA
rnacentral:rRNA from 1 species